ensembl:lncRNA
GUUUUCCACAGAGCGUCUGUUUUUCAUCGUCUCCGCCUAAAAAAAUUCUCACAUCUUUAAAGCUCUGCACAUCAAGUUGAUUUUGCUGCCUCUUCUGUUGUGAAUCCAUCUCAAAGUUUAUCGCAGGAUACCAUAAACAACAUCAAUAUGCCUCAGAAGGAACUCGUUAUAGUGGCUGCCCUUCAAAUUUGAUCCAGAUUGACCUUCCUCCGACACACAAGCCGCCUCCUCCCUACUCUGAGAGAGCACCGGCUGUUCCUCUGGGAGUCCACGCAUCACAAGUGGCCUGGCUGUGUCAGACUCGCAGGGCAGAGCACAGGCACGCGGUCACGGAGAGGCAGCACCCACCCACAGCAAGGCGGGGAGCCCAAAGCCCCACCCAUCAGCGCUCCCGUCUGGAGUGGGUGUGUCAUCAGAGUGGGACAGACCAGGUGUACAUCAACCACCGUGAACACUACGUGUGAGGAACAGUUCCAAUCGCAGUCCACCAAUCACCCGGCAGUCACUCUGCCUGAGCAGCAGCGAGCUUAUAGGCUUCACCUGAUUCACAGAGCCAUCAGUCCACAGAAGGAAGCGGUUGGUAGUGUAUGAGGAAAGUGUCUCUCUAUAUGCAGGCUUUUUUUUCUCCUUAAAACAUAAAUCCUUUCUGCUGUACGCUGGCUGUCACCCGUAGACUGUACAAAGAAGGUGGACAUUGUCAUGUUAGCUCCUUUAAACCAAAUCUCACAGUUGCAGGCAGAUCUGAAUAUAAAGCUGAGGGACACUGCAAGCUCAUACAGUAGAAACCUGUCAGUCACAAAGUAGGCUCACAUUAAAGCGUUUAUUUUUCAUACAAAUGGGGACUAAAAUUUACACAAACAACGUUAUUUAGUAUCAUCAUAGAUUGAAAAGUAGAGCCUAAAAACUCAUCAGAUAAGUGUUCACUGAGGGCUCAGCAGCUGCUUUCCCAUAGACUUUUAUGAAACCGGAUUUCUUUUGAAAUCACAGGCUUUCUUGCUGGCUGUUAAAAAGCAUUUUUAACCCUGGCGUCCACAUAUGAGGACAUCACAUUUUGGGUUAUUUAGACCAAAAUACUACAUUUUGCUCUACAAGGGCCUGAUAUCCACUUACGAGGACAUUAUACUGCUACUGUUCGAUCGAAAUUUUAAAGGAAUAUCCUCAUAUGUGGCUCUCAUUUUUCUUAGAAACAAAAAUAAGGCACUCCUAAAGACACUCCUCCAACGCAAAAGCUACAUCCAUCUUUCAUAUACAGUCUAUGGUGACACACUCUUGUCUAUACAGUAAAUAUGUAGCUAUAGCCAGCAAUCUGUUAGCUUAGCUUAGCACAAAAUUAGAGAUACUAGGGGGAAAAGGGCAUUUCACAAAAGGUCCAACUAUUCAUUUAAUUACCUUUUGUUAUAAGUUCUCAGUGUGUAUUACUUAGGGUACCGAAGUGCUUUAGAAGAACUAACUGCAUCAGUUUAUAUGCCAAUACAUGAGUAAAAGUGGUUAGAGACUAGAUUAAUGUCAGAGUUAGCCUGCAAAAAUAAAGUUUUCUUUUUUUUCUCUGUUGGAGAGCAUAAAUCCAUAUUCUCAGUCACAUCACCAGACCAAACUGUGAGGUCCAGUGAGACUAAAUAUUCUAGCUGGCAACACAGACAUAAAGGGAUUAAAGUACUUCUAUCGCAGCCCUGUGAUGUGCGGUUGUAAUGUUAUGAUGCUGUUCUUUUUUUAGGAACAAAACAUGUAGAUUUGUAAUCCUGUGGAGACUUAACCUACCACAAAUCAGGGAAACGACGAUAUGCAACAGUACAGAUUACUGUUUUUUGGUUUCAUGUGCACUGAAGAAAGAUGCUUGCAUUGUUUUUGUUAAACUAAAAUAGAUUACAUAGUUCAUAAUCCUGUAGGAUAUACAGUGUCUGAUUAUUAUUGUGAGGAGCCAGAGAAAGAAUAUUUUUAAAGUGCCAUUAUAACAUUUGGCAGGGGGGAGGGGAUUCCCUGCUGAUACGUGUAUGCUGUAGUGCUCACAUUCCUCCACUGUGACUAGAUGGUUUUGAGCUAUUUUUUUGACUGGCGUAUGUAUUAAAAGUGCAUAUUGUUGCCAAGUGUGUUCUCAGUUGGAAACAUAUCAAAACCACUUGAAAAGCUAUAGGAAUAGAAGAAAGAGUCUACUGAAUUGCUGUGUGAAGACAGAACGCUCCAGAUGAGGGUGUUCAGUGACCUUUUUAAAGUAAACACUCUGAGAGAUGGAAGCUCUGAGUCACGACACGGGGAAACAAGAGAAGAAGUCCUUGAAGAUUUGAAAAAGAGUUUGUAGUGACGAAAAGAGUUUGGUUUUAUUUAUUUUUUUAAGGGAAAUAAAAAUCAUCUCAAGGUCACAGUCACAUUGCAAUUACUGUGACGCCCACAUCAAAGAGAAAAGCUCUUAUUAUUACCGUGAGUCAGUGAUGUGGUGUUUGUGCUGUGGAAAGCCAGAGCUCACGUUGUAAUGACACCACAGUGAGGGUGGAGAUGUUUGAAAGAAAUCAGUGAUUUGUUUAGAUCAGUCCUCGUGUUACGGGCUCCUGCGAAGACUUUCCUAGGGUAACACCUAGUGGACAAAUGGGUCAGCGCAACCCCCGAUAGAGCGUGUGCAUCACUGAAUACAUAAUGCGACCCUUGGCUGCUCCUUGUCAGAGAGAAUUAAAACUUGGGUGGCUGCAGUCUUACCGUCGAGCCUGUUUACACAGUGGAAAACUGCUAACCCUUUGGCACAGACGUCGUUUUCACAGCACAAAACUACAAGCGAUGGAAUAAAUGAUGCAUUAAUUCCAUUUAGAUGUUUCUCUAUCAGAAUCCUGGUGCUGUGAUUGCUCCCGCCGUCAUGUCUCACUGAGUGUUGUUACAUUCUUUAUAACACCAGCUGAAAUAUACACUAUGAAAGAAGUUAGCUUAGGCAGUGGAGGAAAAUUGAUUAAUUAAACACUACUGUGCAAAAGUGAAGAGUCACCCCUCCUUUCUUUAUGUUUUGCUUCCUAGGAGCCAGACUUUCUUUUCAUUUAAAAGUGAUAUUUAACAAUGGAUCUGAUUUCAGAAGUUUUUCUCUGCUUCAGCUGAUCCAUCUGCUGUUCACUGAAGUCUCAUCAGAAAUGGUCUCAGUGGGGUGGGGUGUGGGGGGAGGCUGUCAAAAAGCCAUUCUUAAGGAAGGGAAACAAGGAGAAAAUGCUGACAUAUGGACUAAAAAUCAGCUGCAACAGGUCUCUUGGACUGAUCGAUACUGAAUAAAGUUGGUUUUACCAAAUAUUGACUUUCACGUUCAAUGGAAUUGUACAAACUGUUUUUGCCUUAUAUACUGUAUUUUCAUGUAUACUUACUUAAACAAAUAAACGAGGGGUUGAGCUCAAGAGUUUUGCAUGGUACUGUUUGUGAAGGCACAGAGGAAACUCGUCUUUAUUUGUAGUAAACAAGAUUUUAUUUGGGAGCAAAAUUACAAUAGAACAUCACAAUAAAAAAAAAUCCAUUACAAAUACAGAGUAGACCUAAAACAUGGGCUAGCAGAUGAUGCCUGACUUUAGGCAGCUGUUAUUUAAGACCAUGUGUUUAUACUGAUGAUUGUUAUUACAGUGACUAAGAGAAAAAAGUCUGCUAAUUUCACACGCAAAGUGCGCAGUACCACUGAUACUACACUAAUUCUGAUAUUGCACUAAUGCAUCAUUUAUGCAAUCAACAGUUUUUGUUUAGAAUAUCCACGUUUUACUGUUCUCUGUAUACUGCAGAGGUGGGUAAAUAUGGUUGAAGAUUAGAAAAAAUACUCUUUCUAAAAAUAAGACUUUUGAAAAUAAAUCGACAGAAUAUUGUUGGUAAAUAAAAGCAUAACUAUCCAACAUGAGUUUUACACGCUCAUUAAGACACAUUAGUAUGAGCAGCAGC